UUGGGAAUCAUCUGCAAUGCGCGAAAGCGUGACAGUUUGAGCCAGAGUGUCUGUCAUUAGACAGACUUUUGCCAAAUGUAAAAAGUUUGGCGAAUAAGGACUGGGUAAGACGGGUGCCAGCCGCCGCGGUAAUACCCGCGGUCCAAGUCGCAGCCAUCUUUAUUGGGUCUAAAACAUCCGUAGCUUGCUUGGUAAGUUCCCUGUGAAAUCCAGCAUCUCAAGUGUUGGGCGCGCGGGGAGUACUGCCUCGCUAGAGACCGGAAGACGUAAGAAGUACGUUCGAAGUAGCGGUAAAAUGCGUUGAUCUCGGGCGGACUCACAACAGCGAAGGCAUCUUACGAGGACGGUUCUGACUGUCAGGGAUGAAGGCUAGGGGCGCAAAGUGGAUUAGAUACCCCCGUAGUCCCUGAGCGGGCUGGCAAGGCGCAU
rnacentral:rRNA from 1 species